UGGGCUUGACCGCACAGGACCAGCUUUAGAAAUAGAGCCUUCCCGCAAGGGACCUGUGUAGAGGUGCCGCAUGGCUGUCGUCAGCUCGUGCCGUGAGGUGUUGGGUUAAGUCCCGCAACGAGCGCAACCCUUACUCUUAGUUGCUACCCGCAAGGGAGAACUCUAAGAGGACUGCUCCGGAUAACGGAGAGGAAGGUGGGGAUGAGGUCAAGUCAGCAUGGCCUUUAUGUCCAGGGCUACACACGUGUUACAAUGCGCGCCACAAAGCGUUGCAAACCCGCGAGGGGGAGCUAAUCGCAAAAAAGCGCGCUCAGUUCGGAUUGCAGUCUGCAACUCGACUGCAUGAAGCCGGAAUCGCUAGUAAUGGCGCAUCAGAACGGCGCCGUGAAUACGUUCCCGGGCCUUGUACACACCGCCCGUCACAUCACGAAAGUGGGCUGUACUAGAAAUCACCGAGCCAACCGCAAGGGGGCAGGUGCUCAAGGUAUGACUCAUGAUUGGGGUGAAGUCGUAACAAGGUAC
rnacentral:rRNA from 1 species